rnacentral:lncRNA from 1 species
UGGCAAUCGAUCCAUCCCUCCUUGUGAGCUCGAUGAUAAAUGUUUCUGUUGAAGACCACAUGGCUGUCAUAGUACUCUUGCGAUGCCUUGAAGGCUCCAACUGCUUGAGCCUUCUCCUCGGCAAAGGCAGAUGAUGCCUUGUACUCCUCCACAGCAUAGCGCUUGGCCUCCUGAACAUACUCUUCAACCCUCUUUUCAGUCUCUUUCUCCCUCUUUUGCACAAGAGUGAGAUUGGCUUCCACCUUCUUGAGAGUCUCCUGGAGGUGCUUGAUGUCAGUUUCGAGUUUUUCCACCUUCGCCCAGGCGGCCAGAGCAUCCUCUUCGGCCGUUGUUUCUACUUCUCGCACCUUCCUUUCAACCCCCUGUGCCUCUACUUCCCUGGCUGAACGAUCUGCUAAGUUAACAAGGACAUGAAGCAGCUACAUGCAAACAAGUUAAGUAAAGAACAUGAAGCGAAGAAAGAGAAGUGAAUAGUUAAAGUAAUACCUGAUGUCCAAUUGUCAAAGACAGCCUCUUGAGGCUAGAGGCACUCAUCUUUCCAAUUUGUUCCAAUUCCAUCGAGAUUAU